UACGUAGGGUGCGAGCGUUGUCCGGAAUUACUGGGCGUAAAGAGCUCGUAGGCGGUCUGUCGCGUCUGCUGUGAAAACUCAGGGCUUAACCCUGAGCUUGCAGUGGGUACGGGCAGACUAGAGUGCGGUAGGGGAGACUGGAAUUCCUGGUGUAGCGGUGAAAUGCGCAGAUAUCAGGAGGAACACCGGUGGCGAAGGCGGGUCUCUGGGCAGUAACUGACGCUGAGGAGCGAAAGCGUGGGGAGCGAACAGG
rnacentral:rRNA from 1 species